CGGGUGAGUAAUGUCUGGGAAACUGCCUGAUGGAGGGGGAUAACUACUGGAAACGGUAGCUAAUACCGCAUAACGUCGCAAGACCAAAGAGGGGGACCUUCGGGCCUCUUGCCAUCGGAUGUGCCCAGAUGGGAUUAGCUAGUAGGUGGGGUAACGGCUCACCUAGGCGACGAUCCCUAGCUGGUCUGAGAGGAUGGCCAGCCACACUGGAACUGAGACACGGUCCAG
rnacentral:rRNA from 1 species